UGAUUGUUUUUCGAUGAUUGUU
rnacentral:miRNA from 1 species